GAUGAACGCUGGCGGCGUGCCUAAUACAUGCAAGUCGAGCGAACAGACGAGGAGCUUGCUCCUCUGACGUUAGCGGCGGACGGGUGAGUAACACGUGGAUAACCUACCUAUAAGACUGGGAUAACUUCGGGAAACCGGAGCUAAUACCGGAUAAUAUAUUGAACCGCAUGGUUCAAUAGUGAAAGACGGUUUUGCUGUCAUUUAUAGAUGGAUCCGCGCCGCAUUAGCUAGUUGGUAAGGUAACGGCUUACCAAGGCAACGAUGCGUAGCCGACCUGAGAGGGUGAUCGGCCACACUGGAACUGAGACACGGUCCAGACUCCUACGGGAGGCAGCAGUAGGGAAUCUUCCGCAAUGGGCGAAAGCCUGACGGAGCAACGCCGCAUGAGUGAUGAAGGUCUUCGGAUCGUAAAACUCUGUUAUUAGGGAAGAACAAAUGUGUAAGUAACUAUGCACGUCUUGACGGUACCUAAUCAGAAAGCCACGGCUAACUACGUG
rnacentral:rRNA from 1 species